rnacentral:rRNA from 1 species
UACGAAGGUGGCAAGCGUUACUCGGAAUUACUAGGCGUAAAGGGCAGGUAGGUGGUUUGGUAAGUCUGUUGUGAAAGCUCCUUGCUUAACGGGGAGAGGCCAACAGAUACUGCCAGGCUUGAGUAUAGGAGAGGGUACUGGAAUUCCCGGUGUAGCGGUGAAAUGCGCGGAGAUCGGGAGGAACACCAAUGGCGAAAGCAGGUACCUGGACUAUUACUGACACUCAGCUGCGAAAGCUAGGGGAGCAAACAGG